AAAUUGAAGAGUUUGAUCAUGGCUCAGAUUGAACGCUGGCGGCAGGCCUAACACAUGCAAGUCGAACGGUAACAGAAAGCAGCUUGCUGCUUUGCUGACGAGUGGCGGAUGGGUGAGUAAUGUCUGGGAAACUGCCUGAUGGAGGGGGAUAACUACUGGAAACGGUAGCUAAUACCGCAUAACGUCGCAAGACCAAAGAGGGGGACCUUCGGGCCUCUUGCCAUCGGAUGUGCCCAGAUGGGAUUAGCUUGUUGGUGGGGUAACGGCUCACCAAGGCGACGAUC
rnacentral:rRNA from 1 species